UGCAAGUCGAGCGAACCAAUAAGAAGCUUGCUUUUUGUUGGUUAGCGGCGGACGGGUGAGUAACACGUGGGUAACCUGCCUGUAAGACCGGGAUAACUCCGGGAAACCGGUGCUAAUACCGGAUAGAUUAUCUUUCCGCCUGGAGAGAUAAGGAAAGAUGGCUUUUGCCAUCACUUACAGAUGGGCCCGCGGCGCAUUAGCUAGUUGGUGAGGUAACGGCUCACCAAGGCGACGAUGCGUAGCCGACCUGAGAGGGUGAUCGGCCACACUGGGACUGAGACACGGCCCAGACUCCUACGGGAGGCAGCAGUAGGGAAUCUUCCGCAAUGGACGAAAGUCUGACGGAGCAACGCCGCGUGAGCGAAGAAGGUCUUCGGAUCGUAAAGCUCUGUUGUUAGGGAAGAACAAGUAUCGGAGGAAAUGCCGGUACCUUGACGGUACCUGACGAGAAAGCCACGGCUAACUACGUGCCAGCAGCCGCGGUAAUACGUAGGUGGCAAGCGUUGUCCGGAUUUAUUGGGCGUAAAGCGCGCGCAGGCGGUCCUUUAAGUCUGAUGUGAAAUCUUGCGGCUCAACCGCAAGCGGUCAUUGGAAACUGGGGGACUUGAGUGCAGAAGAGGAAAGCGGAAUUCCACGUGUAGCGGUGAAAUGCGUAGAGAUGUGGAGGAACACCAGUGGCGAAGGCGGCUUUCUGGUCUGUAACUGACGCUGA
rnacentral:rRNA from 1 species